ensembl:snRNA U6 U6 spliceosomal RNA
GGAUUAUGCUCACUUUGGCAGUCCAUAUACUAAAAUUGGAGUGAUACAGAGAUUAUUAGCAUGGCCCCUGCACAAGGAUGACACACAAAUUCGUGAAACGGUCCAUAUUUUA